UCCCUUGGCUCCUGACAGAUGGUCCAGCAAAUGAAGGCCCCUCUGCCACCUGCCUGCUCACCCUCCCUAGGGCUCUGCUUCCUCCCUGCAGUCCUGCUGGCGCCCCUGCGGCUGCUUCCUCCCUCUCUCCCUCCCUCCCUCCCUUUCUCCCCCCUUUUCUCCCUCCCUCCCAUUUGCUCCCCUUGGUGGAUGAGUGGGGAAGGUGGGGUUAGGAAAGAGCUGGCAGAAGAUGGAGGGCUGGCUUGCACCCACGGUGACAGAGCUGGGAGGCAGCAGGGUUCCUAGUAUUGUUCUGUUUGUGUGUGUGUAUGUGUGUGUGUGUCGCUCAUGUGCAUGCAUGCGCACAUGUGUGUGUGUGUCUUGUUACCAUGUCAGGAGGCAGAGCCUGGGCAGCCCUCUCCAGCGUCUGGGUUCUAUCCACAGGGUGGGCAGGCAGCCCAGGGUAGCAGGGCCUGUGCUUUGCAGACAAAAAUGCCAGAUGGUGGGGAUUUGGGGCAGAGUGGGGGGGGGGCUCCCCAGCCUGGCUGCCAAGGGCAAGGAAGCUUCUGGGGCUCUGGAGAACAGGCCUGGCCUGGGAGCUGCGCAUGUGCGGUGGUGGGUUAUUUUUUCCUGGGUGGGGGGAGUGUCAUGUUUUUGCAUCUUUCAGGAUCUAUUUCCCUUUGGAUUUCUAUCAGCUUGUUACAAACUUUGGUCAUAAAGCUCUAGAUAUGUUGAUGUAAGGAGAGUACAUGUUCCUGCAAGGAAGCCAAAGCAGUUUUUAAAACAGAAAAUAUUUAUUGACGCAUUAUAAAAGCAGCACCAAAUAAGACAGACUCUCAGCCUGGGUGUUUGGGUGACGAGAAGCCCCUGGCGCUGCGAAGGCUGGUUCUGUUUCUUUUGGGAACGGGUUUUGCCUCCUGCUGGUCGGGGUUGUCUCAUCUUGGUUCCCCCCUGGAUGCCACCGUGGAGGGAGCUUGCUGACCCGGCUGGAUCCACGCACACUUGGGGGCUGUGAAGCUUGCUGAGUGCCCAGGCCCAGAAUGAACACGUGUGAACACACAACCGUGUGCAGAGACCAAAGGCACUUCCCGCCCCCCCGCUUAUUGGCAAAGGGAGAAAAACGAAGGAGGAGUGAUUUCAUAAAACGCAUCGACGAGUUAUAGCAGCAGCACCAAGUGAAGCAGAAAGCGAGACGGGUCAUCACUCAAGCCACGUCCUCUGUGGGAUGGUUCCUCUGGUCCCUCCUCCGUCCACAUCCCCUCGCUCCUGGAUCAGCUAACGCCACCCCCUCCUUUCCUUCUCUGUGCUCCUCCCUUGUCUUCUGGGCUAAAGUCACCUCAUGUGUUUCUUAUUGGAAAUGCCUGCUUUCUCUCCUUGAGGCCGGAGGAGACUCCUUGGGUCCUUCUGGUCACCCCGCCACCUAGCACAGGUCCUGGCCUGAGGGAGACACGGUGUUUGCUGAGCGAUUAAAACAAAAACUCAAGCACGAGCUUCCUUUUGGGACAUGUAGCACCGGGCACAGAUGUUAUGAUCCUCAGCUUGGAAACCAGCGUAGAUCUGUGUGUCAGUGUGGUCACAUUGUCACCACCACCACCACCACCAGUGUUAUUAGCAGGUGUGUGUGUGUGUGUGUGUGUGGGUGUGUGUAGCUGCAUGUGAGAUAGUGCAGGUCUGUUCACAGAUGUCAGGGCUGCAUGUGAAGAGUGAAGAGGCAAGUUUCACUCAGGAAAUAAGAGACCUGGAACCCAAAGACUUCAGCCAUCCUUUCUCCUCCCACAGGUUCAUCUUCUGCCGUUUUUCUCCUCAAACAUGACCUGAUGACUACCA